AGAGUUUGAUCCAGGCUCAGGAUGAACGCCGGCGGUGUGCCUAAUACAUGCAAGUCGUACGCACUGGCCCAACUGAUUGAUGGUGCUUGCACCUGAUUGACGAUGGAUCACCAGUGAGUGGCGGACGGGUGAGUAACACGUAGGUAACUUGCCCCGG
rnacentral:rRNA from 1 species